rnacentral:tRNA from 1 species
AGGCGCGUAGCUCAGAAGGCAAGAGCGCUACCUUCACACGGUAGAGGCCAUCGGUUCAAUUCCGAUCGCGCCUA